rnacentral:lncRNA from 1 species
UUCUUUUUCCUUAAAACAAACAGAGGGAAAAGGGGACUGCUCUGCUAGGGUUUUCUUAACCUAGCCCCCCCAAGCCGCCGCCAGUUCUUCAAUCGCCGCCGCGACUUCACCAGAACCAGUGGUAAGGGUUGAGCGAUAUUGAUUUUUGCUCUAAACCCUCCUCAAGCCGACCCAAAGGCAAGGAUAUUUCUUCCUUUUUUGUUUUAACACUAGUUUAAAAAGAGAAUAGAUAAAAUAGAAAGAACUUAAGAACAAAAAAACACCUUUGAUUUUCUUUUUCUGUUCUCUUUUUGUAUCUUUUUU